rnacentral:rRNA from 1 species
GACGUAGGGCGCAAGCGUUGUCCGGAUUUAUUGGGCGUAAAGCGUGCGCAGGCGGUCUUUUAAGUCAGAUGUGAAAUCCCCGGGCUUAACCUGGGAACUGCGUUUGAAACUGAAAGGCUAGAGUGUGGCAGAGGGGGGUGGAAUUCCACGUGUAGCAGUGAAAUGCGUAGAGAUGUGGAGGAACACCGAUGGCGAAGGCAGCCCCCUGGGCUAACACUGACGCUCAUGCACGAAAGCGUGGGGAGCAAACAGG